UGGGCACUCAGCAGGAGCAGAGAUGCAGCACGUCUGGUGCCACUGUGAGCAAAGGCUGCAUUACAACAUGUGGGAGGUUGGGUUGCGUACAGGGCUGUGAGGAGCUCGCUGUGACUUGUGUGAGGAGCAAUGCAAGAGCAGUCCAUUGCUGGUGCCAAAAUUAACCUGACUUCCUCCACGCUGCAGUGAAUGGUUCUCAUGGAUCUGCCUUUGGAUAUGGACCC
rnacentral:lncRNA from 1 species